CAGUCGCCACGGGAAUACGAAGGGGGCUAGCGUUGUUCGGAUUUACUGGGCGUAAAGGGUGCGUAGGCGGAUUGUUAAGUCAGGGGUGAAAUCCCGAGGCUCAACCUGGGAACUGCAUUUGUGACUGUAGAGCUGGAGUGCGGCAGAGGGGGAUGGAAUUCCGCGUGUAGCAGUGAAAUGCGUAGAUAUGCAGAGGAACACCGAUGGCGAAGGCAAUCCCCUGGGCCUGCACUGACGCUCAUGCACGAAAGCGUGGGGAGCAAACAGGAUUAGAUACCCCGGUAGUCCCUGUUUCUUAUAU
rnacentral:rRNA from 1 species